GUAGUAUUUACAGGAACAGAAAGCAGCAUUAAAAGGACUCCUCCCAAACAACUUAAGGGAAGUUUAGAAGUAGGAGAAGAUAGCAACAAAAAACACCAGGAGCAGAUGCUGACUUAAGGAGGUUUUGCCAAUUUGGUGUUGGUUCGGGGAUGAAACGUGAGUCGCUCAAGACGAAGCCCGAUGACUUGCCGGGUUAAACUACGAGGCGGUGAGAAGCAGAGAAGGAGUGGGUAGGACAUGACCUGAACUGUUGGACGGAUAAACAGCUUGGCUUGUUCUCUGAAAAACCGACGCAUCCAUUUGCCGUUUUGGAGCUCUUCAGUCCUUUUAGCUGCUGUUGCCGCUACAGGCUUUUAUGGAAAAUGAGCACCCUGUUACAUAUCAAACAAAG